rnacentral:rRNA from 1 species
AUUGAAUGCUGGCGGCACGCCUAACACAUGCAAGUCGAGCGGCAGCGGGAUAUGUAGCAAUACAUAUUGCCGGCGAGCGGCGGACGGGUGAGUAAUAUGUAAGAAUCUGCCCUCAAGCGGGGGAUAACUAAUGGAAACGUUAGCUAAUACCGCAUAAUCUCGAGAGAGAAAAGGUGCCCGUAAGGGUGUCACUUGAGGAGGAGCUUGCAUCUGAUUAGCUAGUUGGUGGGGUAAGAGCCUACCAAGGCGAUGAUCAGUAACUGGUCUGAGAGGACGACCAGUCACGAUGGGGCUGAGACACGGCCCAGACUCCUACGGGGGGCAGCAGUGGGGAAUAUUGGACAAUGGGGGAAACCCUGAGCCGGCGAUGCCGCGUGAGGGAAGAAGGCCUUCGGGUCGUAAAGCUCUUUAGGUUGGGAAGAAGGGUGUGCGUGGAAUAUACGCAUACUUUGACGGUACCGACAGAAUAAGCACCGGCAAAUUCUGUGCCAGCAGCCGCCGCCG